rnacentral:misc_RNA from 1 species
GAUGAAGAACGUAGCGAAAUGCGAUACUUGGUGUGAAUUGCAGAAUCCCGUGAACCAUCGAGUCUUUGAACGCAAGUUGCGCCCGAAGCCAUUAGGCCGAGGGCACGCCUGCCUGGGCGUCACACGUCGUUGCCCCCCCAUCUACUCCUUCGGGAUUGCGGGGGGCGGAUGAUGGCCUCCCGUGCGCCUCGUCGCGCGGUUGGCAUAAAUGCCAAGUCCUCGGCGACGCACGCCACGACAAUCGGUGGUUGCGAAACCUCGGUUGCCCGUCGUGUGCGGUCGUCGCGCAUCGAGGGCUCGAAAAAAUUGCCGGGCUCCGGCUCGGUUUUCAACGCGACCCCAGGUCAGGCGGGGUUACCCGCUGAAUUUAAGCAUAUCAAUAAGCGGAGGA